UGUAUGUUUUUUAUUGUUUUUAUAAAAACAUUGUUUCACCCUAUCGUAUAACCUGCCUUUUUCAUUCAACGAACACCACUUUGUACAUGCAUUUCUCUAUACACGUGCUUCAUGCUGCAGCCGAGCAGGCCCAGAAAGCAAGGAAAGAGAUUGCUGCCCAUCUGGCUGCUGGGAAAGAUGAAUGAGCUCAGAUCCGAGUGGAGCACAUUAUCCAAGAAGACUACCUUGUGGAGGCCAUGGAGAUUCUGGAGCUGUGUUGUGAUCUGCUGCUGGCUCAGCUUAGCUUGAUCCAGGCCACAAAGUAUCUAAUCAGCAAUGUGCAAAGUACAGCCAAGAAUAUGGCCACUGUGUCGAACCAACGAGAUUGGAACCAUCAGCUCUCAGCUAAUGUGUAAAUUAAACGUGACAACUCUACGCCAGGUUCUAGUAGAACAGUACCUGAUAGAAAUUGCCAAGAACUAUAACAUGCCAUGUAAAUCCAAAGCAACCAUUAUGGUGAGUACUUUCAAGAAGGGAGGCUUGACUUAAAGCUGAGAUUUUUAUUGUGCACCAGAUUUUUUUCUGCUUAGGAAUGCGGCUUCUGGAGUAACUCUGGCAGGAUUGUAAAGCAGGUGACAUUUGCACCUUUUCUCUGCCCACAUACUUUUCCUAACAGAGAUUGACUUCUGGCUGUCACAUGACCCUGCUAAACUGGUAACAACAGAGUAGAAAACAAAGAUGAAGAUAUCUAAAGUGUUAUACUUAGGGGCGCCUGGGUGGCUCAGUCGUUAAGCAUCUGCCUUGGCUUCGGGAAUCGAGCCCCGCAUCAGGCUCCUCCACUGGGAGCCUGCUUCUUCCUCUCCCACUCCCCCUGCUUGUGUUCCCUCUGUCCCUGGCUGUCUCUCUCUCUCUGUCAAAUAAAUAAAUAAAAUCUUAAAAAUAAAA
rnacentral:lncRNA from 1 species